GUUUUAAACUGUAAAACGAAAAGAUUUACAUAAAAAUUUUUUAAUUAUACAUAGGCGGCAUGAAUCGAGAGGCGGGCGGUGACGCUAACCAAGUUGUUUUUUUUAUUUGGCCUUAGUCAGCGAUGGCUCCCUCAGACAGACUAGUCAGCUUGCCUUAGGAGCACAAUUUAAUACCAGCACAAUACCAUGUCUUGCGAAUAGAAGUUUUCAAUGACAAUGAGCGAGAGCAAACGCUCGGAAUAUUUCGACGAUUUUGAAAUAAUUACGGAAGCAAACGAAAGGGCAUUCUUGGAACAAAACGAAAGCAAAAAUAUGGAAACAAACAGCGAAGCAGAGAUGUCUGCCCGAGACAAACCGAAGCCUAAGCCAAGAAAUCGUGAGACUAAUAAGGUAAUUUUAAGAAAAAAGUAAUAUAGAAGAUAUCUUAGCGAGGUUUCGUUGAAUUUUACGUCAAAUUUGACUGUUUUGGAAAGAGAAAAGUUAAAUGAGUUCUGCGGGAAAGUCCCUUCAAGCUGAAGCCUAGGCGUUUGCCGUUUGGUUUUGGUUUGAGGUAAUACGUCGUGGUUCGUGUCUGAACUAUAUGAAAAGCUCAAAACAUCGAGGUCUUCAUUCCUGUGAUAUAACGUGAUUGAAGGAUUUAACCUCGAAUGUCACUGAAAUCAGUGACAUCCGAGAUUAAAUCCUUCAAUCACGUCAUCGCGACCCACACAAGAUGGCAGUUAUUAACCUUACAAAUCUGCAAACGAAGGACCUUUUCUCAAACAAUCGAAGCAUUUUUCCGGGCAGCUCAGACGGAAACCAUGGCUGCUUAUUGUACUAGGUUUAGAUGUCAGGGUGUCGGCUCUAUAACACUGAGUUAUGGCAGAUACUUCAUAUACGAUUAGCAUUGUAUUGCUUCGUUUGCCAUUCCUUUUAUUCGAGUUCCAACAAUAUAAUAUAAUAUAUAUAUAUAUAUAUAUAUAUAUAUAUAUAUAUAUAUAUAUAUAUAUAUAUAUAUAUAUAUAUAUAUAUAUAUAUAUAUAUAUAUAUAUAUAUAUAUAUAUAUAUAUAUAUAUAUAUAUAUAUAUAUAUAUAUAUAUAUAUAUAUAUAUAUAUAUAUAUAUACAAUAAUAAAUCGUUGUCCGUUGUACAAAAAGAGUGCUCAAUAACAAAUUUAAUUGAUAGAGCAAAAUAUAUAUAUAAAUAUAUAUAUAUAUAUGUAUAUGUAUAUGUAUAUGUAUGUAUAUAUAUAUAUGCAUACGUCUAAAUAUUGUGUUUAUACAUGUGAUUGGCUAAUGUGCAUGAUUUGUUUCAAUUUCGCUGAGAAUUGCAACAGAGUGGACUGCACCUCCCACACUACAGUACAUGAUCAUGAAGACCUUCGUUGCUUCAGUCGAAAGUAUGUUUGUAAUAUUUUUGAACGUAUUCUUUACGCGAUUUUGAUCCAAAUUACGAUAGCUUAUCGUUGACAGAAACAAAGAGACACUGAUAAAAGUUGCUGAUGUUUAUAGCAAACUGGUAACCCUUUUCGCGGAAUUUAAAAUGAGUUCCAAGUAAGACUUUCCCCGGAACGAUUGCGUACUUCAAUUUUAGAUUUUAUCAAGCGUGGAAAACGCGGAUUUAAUAAACGCGGACUUAACAAACACGGAAACGCGGACUUAAUUACAAACGCAGACUUACCAAACGCAGCACUGUGGUUCUUCUAAAAAGUGGGUAUGUGGUACACGCGAUUAAAUACAUUUUCAUUCCUAGGUCUGAGUAAGUUUUGAUCAAGUUCAUGAACUGGAUGAAGUUUUGAUCAAGACCUAGGACUGGAUGAAGUUUGAUCAAGUUCUAGAACUGGAUGAAGUUUUGAUCAAGUCCUAGGACUGGAUGAACUUUGAUCAAGUUCUAGGACUGGAUGAAGUUUGAUCAAGUCCUAGGACAGGAUGAAGUUUUGAUCAACAGUUAAUUAAAUUUAAUAGAUUAAGAAAAUAAGCUACUUUUCCAAAGUGGUCUUGAAAUCCGAUCCGAUCCUCAUUUUCAGAUUUUAAAUAUUACAUUGUUGUCAAUUUAGGAUUAUGAUAUCCACAACAAGCGAGAGUUAAAAUGGACAAAUGAAAAGGAUGACUUUCUCACCGAAAUAGAAAAUCUGAAAGAAGGUUUGAAACAAAAAGAUGAAGAAUUACAAGAACAGAACAGUAGACACGAAGAAGUCAUAAACGCACUUGGAAAUGAAAAAGAAGCACUGCAGAACAAAUGUGUCGAAUUGGAAGAAAAGAAUUCCGAGUUUGUGUCUGAGAAGGAGAGAGUUUGUGAAAAAGUCAAAGAAUUGCAAGAGCAGAACAGUAGACACGAAGAAGUCAUAAACACACUUGGAAAUGAAAAAGAAGCACUGCUGAAUAAAUGUGUUGAAUUGGAAGCAAAGAAUGCCGAGUUUGUGUCUGAGAAGGAGAGAGCUUGUGAAAUAAUCAAAGAAUUACAAGAGAGAAGGUAGUGGUACCUCAGUCUAGACCUAGGCCUUUACUCGGCUGGCUUUGGCAGGUUUGGUCAAUUUCGGGCCAGUCCCAGUCUUCUCAUGUGAAAAAGCGCUGAAUAUUAAAAAAAUAAUGAAAAUAGAAGGCCUAGGUCUAGGCUGGUGGCACCUGUGUCUUUCACUUCCAUGAUAUAGUAGACCUUUCUGGAAUGAACUAGUUAAUUAAAUUUAAAUAAGGUAAUUCUUUUUCUUGACAGUGAGGAAACGACGGGAGAAACUCAGGCACCUAUUCAACAGUUGCCGAAAAAUGAAGUAGAUCAACUUCGAAAAAAUUUAGAUGAAAAUAAUGAUUCCUGCAACGAAGCUUUGGAGAAGAUUCAAGUGUAUGAGAGCAAAGAGGUAAAUCUCCAAUUGCUUGCUAGGCUUUUUCGUCUUAGAUGCUCUGCCAUAACAGAUGGAUUUGACAAAGGAUUUUUCUUGUUUGCAAUGCUUAUUUCACCCAACAUGGCAAAAUUACCUCCGUCCUUUUUCCUCCCUGAAGAUCAAUAUAUUAUAGGCUAGCGCUACAUAGCUUUAAGAAAUUGUUUUCGAAAAUUUAAGGAAUUUUGAUAGCAAACUUUUCUCUAUUCAAAUGACAAGAGGAAGCUGUCAAAUGCAGUGGCUCUAUUCUGAUCAAACACUUCUAAUUGUUAUCAACAGAGUGAAAACGAACAGCGUAUUCAGCGCUUGGAAGAAGAACUGGCAAAUCUCAGCCAGCAAAACGAUCUUGGAAACCGCAAGAUAGACGAGCUUGAGUCGACCAAUCAGCAAAUACAAGAAGACCGUGCAAAGGGGGAGGAAAUGUUGACAAAACUGAAAGAGCAUUACGCAGAACUGUCGACCAUUAAUGACGAGAUGGAGAAAGAGUUGCACGAGAGCAAAACAAAAGUACGCGAGUUGACGAGAGAAAAUCAACAGGAAAAGGUAUCUAGCAGAUCAAGUCAGACCACUACACUCUGGCGAACUACAGUAGGCGAAACUCAGCGGCUGAAGCCUGCCGAAACUUGAGAGAAAGAAACUUGAAGAGAGAAACUUGCCUCUUGUGGCGGUUAGCUCAGCUAUGCAUUUUCACCGCACAUGUUGAGAAAACCACUCAACAGCAACACGUGAGGUGAAAAAUAUGAAGAAACGCGAUAGAUAUUUUCGUGUGGGGACACGAGCGAAACAUGGUGAGCUAGACGCCACGCGAGGCGGUCAGGCAGGGAUGCCGGAAGUUGCUCAGGGCAAGGGGUGCGAUUUGUUAUCAAAAGGGCAUAUUUUUUAAAAAAGGGCAGAAACAAAAAUGAAAGGGCACUUACCUGCUUAUUACCUAAUUUCAAAUCAAACACAAGCAAUAAAGGCAUAAAGCGACAUUUUAUUAAUUUCAAACAAUUAAAAUAAGGCACACAGAAUUAGCAGAACAGUUUCGCUAUCUCUUCUACUGAAGAACGUUUUGUGUGCUCGUUUACUAUAGGUUAUGAAAUUAAAUCGUUCAUUAGAGGCAACAGACUAGUAGUCAUAUGUGCCACCGUACAUGCCUUCAUGAAUGUUUGGGCGCUAUAAAAUAUGUAUAAAUGAUUUUUCUUCCAGAAUGAAAUGAGGCGGCAAAUGGAGAAAUUUAGCAACAACGCUCGCGAAAUACAAAGCGAAAAAGACAAGCUGGAGAGUGAACUGGUGACCAUGAAACUCGAACAAGAGCUCUUGACCUCUGAAAACACCAGCCAUUCCCAUCACAUGCAAGACAUGAGAUUGAUGAGAAGCAAGGUGACUAAAUUAGUCGAAGAACGGGAUUUCUACGACCAAAAGUGCAAGGAAUUGGAGAAGGGGUUAAAAUUAAAUGCGCAUCAAGAAAUAUCUCGGUUAAAUCAAGCAUUGCAGGCACUCAAUGAGGAAAAUGAUGUUUUGAGGCAAAGAUAUACAAAGCUGGAAGGAGACGUCGGUACACCCCCCAGAGACACACCCACCGAGCAGUGGUAUGAGACAGACGAAGGAAGCCCGCUGUUUGCUCAAAUUCAUCGAGAAAUGAAUAAUAAAUUCAGCAAGGUCGAAAUUGACAGGGUCGUUUCAACGAAAGAUAUCUUGCUCUCAGUCACCACAGAUCAACGGGAGAAAUUCAAAGUUCACUUCCCCAGAAAUUUCCCUUCUGCUGCGGCUAAGGUGAAGUACGGUGGAGUAUGGAAAGAAAUGAGGGUGUCUUUUGACAGGAAUGCACCAUCGGAACUUUGCACAGAACUUAUCAAGAUGCUGUGUGAACUGGUGUAUGGUUAGGCAUUUGUGUAAAAGCAAUAAUCAACCAUGGUAUAGUUUGGAAACUCGACUUAUGCAAACUUUUUUAGUGUAUCAGUAUUAAAAUCAGACCACAGCCUAGCCUGCGUAUCAGGCUCUAUGCUUGAAGUCCUGACACGCAGGCUAACCUCGGCCUAAACCUCGGUCAAACGAGGAUGAGAAAGUUAAUGAGAGUUGGCAGCCACGCAUUGUUCCAGGGGACAUUUCAAGCUCUAGAUUAACAAAAUAAAGGUUUGAUGAUUGUUCCUACUAAUGUUGAUAGUGUUGGGAAAGCAUUAAGGAACAGCUAACCAAGAUCACGUGACUGCCAACUCUCAUGCACUCUCAUCCUCGUUUCAUCCGGGCUUUCGUCAAGCUUUGAAAUUUGCCGAGUUUUUUUUACCAUAUCUUGGUUGAUUAUGGACAGGUUUAAUGGCAAGUAUAGUCACUGACUGUCAAGGGCAUAACUGGGUAGAGUAUUAUAAUUUGGAUUAAUAUAGUCAGUUCUUGUGAUAGUUGUGUAGCAUUGUGCUGACACAAGAGAACGGUAUCAACUUCUUGGUAGGUUUAGACGUAGUUUCAUCUUUCAACCUACUUCGUAAAUACUUCAAUGUAUUCGUAAGACAUAAGUAUUGAUUGUACAAGCGUAAACUUUGCAAUUUAGAGAAAACACCUUCAUUGCAAAUUGGAAUAAGUAAUAAUUAUGAUAAUUAUUAUACAGAAAUAACAUAAUCUUAAAGAAGUAAUAUCCAUAUGGAGUGUAUAAAAUAUAGGCCUAGUUAAAUAUAAAUGUUAAAUCGUAAAUAAAAAUAAAAAAAUGUAGCAUUAAAUUUUCUCGCGCCUUGCACUGUUGCCAGUCCAUGGGAAUUGUGUCUCAAAGACGGCGUUUUUA